rnacentral:rRNA from 1 species
CCUACGGGUGGCAGCAGUGGGGAAUAUUGCGCAAUGGACGAGAGCCUGACGCAGCGACGCCGCGUGAAGGAUGAAGGUCUUCUGAUCUUAAACCUCUGUCAGCAGGGAAGAACGGUCACUUUGCUAAUCAUCCUUGCAUUGACGGUACCUACAAAGGCCGCACCGGCUCACUCCGUGCCAGCAGCCACGGUAAUACGGCGGGUGCGAGCGUUGAUCGGAAUUACUGGGCGUAAAGCGCUCGGAGGCGGUAUGUCAAGUCAAGUGUGAAAUCCCCGGGCUCAACGUGGGAACUGCAUUUGAAACUGGCAAACUGGAGUGUGGGAGAGGAGAGCGGAAUUCGAGGUGUAGGAGUGAAAUCCGUAGAUAUCGGGAGGAACAUCAGUGGCGAAGGCGACUAGCUGGAACAUAACUGACGCUGAGGAGCGAAAGCGUGGGUAGCAAACAGGAUUAGAUACCCGUGUAGUC